rnacentral:rRNA from 1 species
GGCUCAGGACGAACGCUGGCGGCGUGCUUAACACAUGCAAGUCGAACGAGGUCCAUGAAGUAGCAAUACUUCGGAAGACCUAGUGGCGAACGGGUGCGUAACACGUGAGGAACUUGUCCCGGUCUCUGGGAUAACAGUUGGAAACGACUGCUAAUACCGGAUGACGUCGGAGCGUCGCAUGGCGCGCUGACGAAAGGGUUACUGGAUCGGGAGAGCCUCGCGGCCUAUCAGCUUGUUGGUGGGGUAAUGGCCUACCAAGGCAUCGACGGGUAGCUGGUCUGGGAGGAUGAUCAGCCACACUGGGACUGAGACACGGCCCAGACUCCUACGGGAGGCAGCAGUGGGGAAUCUUGCGCAAUGGGCGAAAGCCUGACGCAGCAACGCCGCGUGCGGGAAGAAGGCCUUCGGGUUGUAAACCGCUUUCAGCAGGAACGAAAAUGACGGUACCUGCAGAAGAAGGUGCGGCCAACUACGUGCCAGCAGCCGCGGUGACACGUAGGCACCAAGCGUUGUCCGGAUUUAUUGGGCGUAAAGAGCUCGUAGGCGGUUCGGUAAGUCAGGUGUGAAAACUUUGGGCUUAACCCAAAGCGUGCAUCUGAUACUGCUGUGACUAGAGUUCGGUAGGGGAGUGGGGAAUUCCUAGUGUAGCGGUGAAAUGCGCAGAUAUUAGGAGGAACACCGGUGGCGAAGGCGCCACUCUGGGCCGAAACUGACGCUGAGGAGCGAAAGCGUGGGUAGCAAACAGGAUUAGAUACCCUGGUAGUCCACGCCGUAAACGUUGGGCACUAGGUGUGGGUUUCAACCAACGAAAUCCGCGCCGUCGCUAACGCAUUAAGUGCCCCGCC